GACGAACGCUGGCGGCGUGCCUAAUACAUGCAAGUCGAGCGGACUGAAUGGGAGCUUGCUCUUGUUCGGUCAGCGGCGGACGGGUGAGUAACACGUGGGCAACCUGCCCGCAAGACCGGGAUAACUCCGGGAAACCGGAGCUAAUACCGGAUAACACCGAAGACCGCAUGGUCUUUGGUUGAAAGGCGGCGCAAGCUGCCACUUGCGGAUGGGCCCGCGGCGCAUUAGCUAGUUGGUGAGGUAACGGCUCACCAAGGCGACGAUGCGUAGCCGGCCUGAGAGGGUGACCGGCCACACUGGGACUGAGACACGGCCCAGACUCCUACGGGAGGCAGCAGUAGGGAAUCUUCCGCAAUGGGCGAAAGCCUGACGGAGCGACGCCGCGUGAGCGAAGAAGGCCUUCGGGUCGUAAAGCUCUGUUGUGAGGGACGAAGGGGCGCCGUUUGAAGAAGGCGGCGCGGUGACGGUACCUCACGAGGAAGCCCCGGCUAACUACGUG
rnacentral:rRNA from 1 species